CAAACAUGCCCUAGAUCCCCGCUGUCACAAGAAUAUAUAAUAACAGAUAACAGAUGGUCGUUUGUCUUCCAUUAGGGUUUCGCACCAUUAAAUUAAUCAUCCGCUCUUUGGACGUUUGAUCAUCCGGUUCUGGCGAUUACGCUUGAUUGAUCACGAGUAAUACAAGACGAUGAGGCACCCGAGAAGGCCGGAGGAUGUUUCUCAGAGACAUCGAGAUCACAUUAAAAAGUAUGGCAAGAUGCCUCUUGGACUACCAUCAGAUCUUAAUAGGAAGAAGCCAUCUCAGCUGGAGGACAGGUUUGCCAAGAUGCGUCUUACACCAUCUGAUGAAAUUCCACUUCCUGUAUAUACCAACAUUAAGAAGGCAGUUGACAUCAUGAGUGGUCCUAAGGAAGCCAGUAGUUAUCUCGAUGAUUUGGAAAGAGCUGAGUAUGGAAUUCGCGUGGCUACUAAGGUCUACAGAUCUUAUCUUCCACCUGGCUGGAAAUAUGACCGAGAGACUGCUAGCUCCCUUAUUUCCGGCUAUGACAAGAUUUAUACAACGGAGGACGGGAAAAAAUUCAUUAUGCGUUCAUUAGCUUCAUAAAUGUCAACAAACAAACUAUGGUUUUUAAACAAUCAGUAGUGUUAUAUAUGUAGUUUGCUACUUUCUUAUUUUAAAAAAAGUAACUAUAAGUGAAUUUACCAUCCUGCUUUAUCUGUUAAUCAUUCGGCAGGUAAUAUCAUAUUCCUUUUCAUUCCUAAAUUUUCUGAUGAGCUGAAGGAGGAAAAGCUGCCCGUUUAGCUGGAUUAUUUUUAAGGAUUUGAAUGGGAAUUUAGAUUAGUGAGUCGGAAGAGACUUGUUAUAUGAUUCCAGAGUAAAAAAAGUAUGGGGGACCACAAACGUGGGCGACAUUGGCUUAAACAAAAUCAACUGGGGUUCUGCUGUUGGAUAUGUAUCGUGCUGAAUCGCAGGACAUCAUGGAACUUGAUGAAGUUGCGCGUUUGUACAAAGAAAGUAAAAUACGCCCCAGUCCUGAAAUUGGUCUCACAUAUAGCUAGCCCUACCCCAAGUAAUUUGGGAUAUAAUACCUGCUGCUGCUGAGGCCUAAAGGGAAUGAAAAUACUUUUUCACAAAGUGAGUCCCAAACAUCAAAAGAUAGCAUGGCAAUGUUACAAUCACUUAGUCAUUGAUCAUUAAGUAACAGUAUUUCAGUUUGUGAGAGAUUAAGCAGAGCAGAAGAAAAAGAAGAUAUCAUAUAGGCAGGCUGGUAAAACAAAGAAUGCAGACAUGCCACAUGUGGCAACAUAAGAAGCUAAAUCGGCUAAUGUGGCAAAUUGUUUAUGUGAUUAUAAGAUUUUUUGUAACAGCGCUUGUAAAAUCUAUUCAUUGCCUAAAUCGGCUGGCCCUGAGAAUUCAUGUACCUUGUUCGAGCUCGAAAAAAUGUACCCUUCCUUCAAGCCCCUCCACACCGUGUAGUCUUAGCUUUAGGCUCCCAAUUUUGUCAACACCAUUUGUUUGUACGUAACUAUAUACUACAUGCGUUAGACUUACAAGAACA